UGAGGAAUAUUGGUCAAUGGCCGGAAGGCUGAACCAGCCAAGCCGCGUGAGGGAAGGAGGCGCUCAGCGUCGUAAACCUCUUUUGCCGGGGGAUAAGAGGCGCCACGCGUGGCGCCGUGAAGGUACCCGGAGAAAAAGCAUCGGCUAACUCCGUGCCAGCAGCCGCGGUAAUACGGAGGAUGCGAGCGUUAUCCGGAUUUAUUGGGUUUAAAGGGUGCGUAGGCGGUUCUGUAAGUCAGCGGUAAAAAGCGCGGGCUCAACCCGUGUGAGCCGUUGAGACUGCAGGGCUUGAGAGACGGAGAGGCAUGCGGAAUGCGCGGUGUAGCGGUGAAAUGCAUAGAUAUCGCGCAGAACUCCGAUUGCGAAGGCAGCAUGCCGGUCGUUUUCUGACGCUGAGGCACGAAAGCGUGGGGAUCGAACAGG
rnacentral:rRNA from 1 species